AACGAACGCUGGCGGCAUGCCUAACACAUGCAAGUCGAACGAGCCCUUCGGGGUUAGUGGCGCACGGGUGCGUAACGCGUGGGAAUCUGCCCUUUGCUUCGGAAUAACUGAGAGAAAUUUCAGCUAAUACCGGAUGAUGUCUUCGGACCAAAGAUUUAUCGGCAAGGGAUGAGCCCGCGUAGGAUUAGGUAGUUGGUGGGGUAAUGGCCUACCAAGCCGACGAUCCUUAGCUGGUCUGAGAGGAUGAUCAGCCACACUGGGACUGAGACACGGCCCAGACUCCUACGGGAGGCAGCAGUGGGGAAUAUUGGACAAUGGGCGAAAGCCUGAUCCAGCAAUGCCGCGUGAGUGAUGAAGGCCUUAGGGUUGUAAAGCUCUUUUACCAGGGAUGAUAAUGACAGUACCUGGAGAAUAAGCUCCGGCUAACUCCGUGCCAGCCGCCGCGGUAACAC
rnacentral:rRNA from 1 species